rnacentral:lncRNA from 1 species
GAUAUAGUCCUUGGGAAAUAGUGGCAGCUUUGUACCUACAGGUGAGUAUCAUUAGUCAAGCACUCAUAUUCAUUACAAGGUCUUGUAGUUGGUCUUUUGCUGAAAGCCCCAGAAUGUACUUUUAUGAUAGCUCAACCGUAAGGAACUUUUCCUUUUCACUGAUCUUUCACAAAAUUGUACUUCGACUAACUCUAUACUCAAGUGAAGUUACGAAUACUAAGCAUUUGAUAACAUGUUGCCACUCUAAUAGUUGUUUAUGCGAACUGGGAUUUUGCAAAGAUCAAAGAAUGCGGUUGGGUUGGGCCGAUCUUAUUUGGCUUUAUAGCAUUGUAACCUAUGUUCCACUUGACAUCCUCAAGUUUUGCAUACGUUAUGUUUUGAGCGGAAAGGCUUGGGAUAAUCUUUUGGAGAACGAAGUACAUCGUCUUACAGUAUUUAUUAAGUUGUUUAAAUAAUUCAUUGCUUGAUCCUUACUUUCUUACUCGACUGUUGACGAUAGAUUGCCUUUACGACAAAGUCUAACUAUGGAAAAGAAGAGAGAGAGGCACAAUAGGCUACAACAUAGAGGACUUUACAUGGUCUUCAACCACAAGAAGUGAAUAACCUUUUCAAUGAAAAAAAGAGGUUAUUUAGAGCUCUUAGAGAUUGCAGAGUAUGUCAAACGACGUGCUAAGGU